rnacentral:rRNA from 1 species
CGCCUUGCCAGCCCGCUCAGAAACUUAAAGGAAUUGACGGGGCCCGCACAAGCGGAGGAGCAUGUGGUUUAAUUCGAUGAUACGCGAGGAACCUUACCUGGGCUCGAACGUAAGAUGACUGUAGGUGAAAGCUUACAUCUCUUCGGAGCAUUUUACGAGGUGCUGCAUGGUUGUCGUCAGCUCGUGCCGUGAGGUGUCGGGUUAAGUCCCAUAACGAGCGCAACCCCUACCUUUAGUUGCCAUCAGGUUAAGCUGGGGACUCUAAAGGAACUGCCUACGCAAGUAGUGAGGAAGCGGGGAUGACGUCAAAUCAGCACGGCCCUUACGUCCAGGGCUACACACGUGCUACAAUGGCCGAUACAGAGGGCAGCUACCUGGUGACAGGAUGCAAAUCUCCAAAGUCGGUCUCAGUUCGGAUCGGAGUCUGCAACCCGACUCCGUGAAGUUGGAUUCGCUAGUAAUCGCGCAUCAGCCAUGGCGCGGUGAAUACGUUCCCGGGCCUU